ACUGAUUAGAGAUUGGUAUCUUUGUUUGAAACUCAACCCCCUCACAUUAGCAAUCCUCCAAAUCUCAAUGAGGAAACGAAUAAAGAAGCUGGAGAACUAGAAUGAUUUUGCACCGUAAGUGGAACAACCAAGCAAUUAGCAGAGGGAAAGCAAUCCCAUGAAUCCUUAAUGCUCAAGUAAAUGACCACCCAACUCUCUCAUCAUCGAAUCGAUUCCAAUUCAACUGUUUACACCCCCCAACAACACUUUUGGUGCAAACCAAUCAAACCCAUAUGAACAAAUCAAAGUCUCAUUCGGUCAUUCAUAUUCAGACAUUGAUUCGAUCAUUGUAUCUGAUACCCGGAAAGAGAGAGUGAGAAAUGGCCGGGAAGUGGUUGCUGUUGAUGUUGGUGUUGGUGAUGGGUUGGUCUGUAACUCUGACGUCAGCUUCUUUUGGUGAUCGGUAUCGGGGAAGGAAAGCUUUUCUACCGGCGGAAGCGACGUCGUCUUUGGCGAUCAGCCGUGCACCGUCGUCUGUUGUGUUACCUGUUCAUGGAAACGUGUACCCAAUUGGGUCAUAUAAUGUUACCUUAAACAUUGGUCAGCCUCCAAAGCCCUACUUUCUCGACCCCGACACCGGUAGUGAUCUUACAUGGCUCCAAUGUGAUGCUCCUUGUGUUAGAUGUACUGAGGCGCCUCAUCCAUACUACCGGCCUAACAAUGACCUGGUGGUCUGUAGGGACCCUCUCUGUGCAUCCUUGCACGCACCUGGUGCUCACAAAUGCGACAAUCCAGAGCAAUGCGACUAUGAAGUUGAGUAUGCAGAUGGGGGUUCAUCCCUCGGUGUACUUGUAAGGGAUGCCUUUCACCUCAACUUUACAAAUGGGAUCCAGCAAGCACCUCAUCUGGCCCUUGGGUGUGGAUAUGAUCAACUUCCUGGAUCAUCUUAUCAUCCUAUAGAUGGAGUUCUCGGCCUUGGCAAGGGAAAAUCUAGCAUCGUGUCACAACUUGCUAGUCAGGGUCUUGUGCGAAAUGUUGUUGGUCAUUGUUUAAGUUCUCGAGGUGGAGGAUUUUUCAUCUUUGGGGAUGACCUCUAUGAUUAUUCACGCGCAGUUUGGACACCAAUGUCACCAGAUUACUCAAAACAUUAUUCACCUGGAUCUGCGGAACUGAUCUUUGAUGGGAAGACUACUGGAAUGAGAAACCUACACUUGGUUUUUGACAGUGGGAGUUCUUACACUUAUCUCAAUUCUCAGGCUUAUCAUUUUUUGACUUUAUGGUUGAAGAGGGAGCUAAAUGGAAAGCCUCUAAAAGAAACUUCAGAUGACAGAACUCUCCCGCUCUGUUGGAAGGGUCGAAAACCAUUUAAGAACAUACGUGAAGUCAAGAAAUACUUCAAGCCCAUAGCACUGAGAUUUGCCAUUGGAAGAAAGGAUGCAGCUCAGUUUGAAUUGUCCCCUGAAGCUUAUCUAAUAAUAUCCUCCAAGGGAAAUGUUUGCUUGGGAAUUUUAGAUGGCACUGAAGUUGGCUUACAAAAUUCAAACAUCAUUGGAGACAUUUCAAUGCAAGAUAAGAUGAUCUAUUUAUGACAAUGACAAGCAGAUGAUUGGUUGGACUCCUGGAAACUGUGAUCAACUACCCAAGUCUAGAACCUUCAGCUUCUGGUGAUUCUUCAUAAUUUCUCAGACUUGGGUUAUAAUGGUUUGUGCUCACAGACCAUUUGUUCAGGAGUAAAAAUAAUCUCAGCUAUAUCUUUAUGGAAGGCGGAUAGUGCCUAGUUUUACUGUAUGAUCUACAUAUUCUCCACCAAUAUAUGUUGGUGAAAACACUAUGAAUUGUUACCCAAGUUCUAUUCUCAGGUGUAUCUAUCUGAAUUCUGAAGGGGGAUAAUCUAUUUUUACUGUAUAGUCUAUGGUCAUAUGUGCGUGUACAUCGAAGCUAGCUUGGUAUUUCCAACCAGUAUAAGCUGAUGAAAGUUAUACUAUACUGCAAGUUAU